AUCACUUCUCAGCCUUUUGACUAAAAUCAAGUGUAGUAUCUGUUCUUAUUAGAUGUAUUUUUAUACACUUGUGUCCAAAAAUAUCAACCUCACCCAUU
ensembl:snRNA U2 U2 spliceosomal RNA